AUUCAAAACAAAGAUUUCAAAUUUCCAAGCGCUGGUUUAUUGAUAAAUUCGCGUAGUAAGUCACAGCAAAAUGCAACAUAAGCAUUACCCGUUGACACACAUUCCAUUAUCGCUGACCAAGCAAUUCAACAUUUGUAUUGCCCGCCGCAUGGAGCGACGCCGCCACUGUACAAGCAGAAUACUUCGGCGACACGUCAUGAACUGCGUUUUGAUUGGUUGCUUUGCAAAUUUGGAAUGCUGAAUCACAAAGCACUGGAAAAGAGGUGGAGCAAUGAAAGUGGUUUAACAAAUAAUUUGUGUAUAAAUAGCAUUAAGUUUAAUCAAUAAAAUUAGAAUAUGAACGACAAGUUUUGACUUUUAUCAUUUCUCCAACUUAGACAACUGCAAAGUUGCCUAGACAAAGAUUUCGGCAGCCUCACGGCCGCCUAUCGAACGGCACAACCUUCUCUGCCUAACAAGAAGAGGGCUAUUAAUAAAAACGAUAGAAUAUAGGACCUCCACAUGCCGAUUCUGCCAAAUACAUAUUCAUUUUUCACAUUGUUGAUCGCCUCCACAUGGCGAUCAUGCCAAAAUAUACUUUAAAUCGUUAACACAUGGCGUGGUGAAAGUCAAUUUUUAGCGCCAUCCUGAUAGCCAUCACGGGCUACGAAGUCGGUAAGCCGAAAUCAAUAACAACAAAGACUCGACUUCAUAGCACUUUUUAUAAACCUAGUACUUGUGGCCAUGUUCACGGUAUUAGAAAAGUAUUUCAACAGACGACUACGUCGGAUGAGAAUUGAAGCACAACGCAUAUAAACGCGGCCAAUAUUAAUUUAUCUAUAUAGAAAACCCCAUGUACAGCAUUUUCAUAUCUUUAUAGUGUAUUGCCGGCCGCAUGGAGCGACGCCGCCUCUGCACAAACAGAAUAUUUCGGCGACACGUCAUGCACUGCGUUUUGAUUGGUUGCUUUGCAAAUUUGGAAUGCUGAAUCAUAAAGCACUGGAAAAGAGGCGGAGCUACGAAAGUGGCUGGGGAAAUAAUGUGUAUAAAUAGUAUCAAGUUUGAUCAAUAAAAUUAGAAUAUGAAUGACAAGCUUUGACUUUCAUCAUUUCUCCAAAUUC